GUUCUUCAUGGGUAACGGGUAUAUCCAUCUCCGUCCCUCUUCCCCUCUCCAUGCUGUGCUGUGCAUCCUUGAUCUAUUAAAAACAGCUCUUUCAAGUACAACUGCAGUCAGAAGAGCGGUUUUGCCAGGCGCUAACCACCAGUGCUGCCGUGCGAGGGUUUGAUCAGAAGGUGCAGAGCGCUGGGCUUUCAUCUCCAGCAGCAGCAGCGCCCGGCCAAGUCAAAGGGUUCAGGGGAGCCGGCGCCUCUCGACAGGCGUGUGGGAAAUUUCCGCUCUGCUUCCUUUCUCUCACACGAAUGGUUUGUCGCCUCUUUGGGCUGUAACCUGCCGAGCUCUGAAAGGGCUGUGAUGUUUGGUUGUAUUUUAAAGAUCUCCUAAAAAGGGCACGGGAGGUUAGCUGCACAUGUUAGCUGCAAGUGUGCUCGUUUCUGAAGCACUGAUGUUCCAUCUUGUUCAAGAUGGUUACAGAUAAAGCCUUAUGGAGAUCCAGACAAGAUAAGGCUUUAUAUACAACCCAAAGUGAGAGGAACCUAAAAUCCACUGCAGGCUUAUAAUUUUUACCCUUGUGUUUUGGGAAAAAAAUAUUGAAAAUUGUUGUUCCUAACAGACUUCAGAAAAUAUCCAUCAGACUGAUGCAUUUUUUAAAAGUAGUGUUUUCUAUAUUUAAUAACUUCAGAAGGAGGAAGAAAAAUUCAGAGAAGAUGAUUUGUAAAAGUAAUUUCCCUUGACAACAUACAACUCUGACCUAUAUGUGUGUUGGGCAGCUUAUAAAAAAGCUUUUAUUUCAGCAAUAUCAAUUCCUUGUUGGUAUCCUGGAUGCAUUAUUAUUUAAUUUAAAAAUAGGUAGAAAUAGGUAUAGAAGUACAAACAUAUAUGUAUUUGUUAUAUAUUGUAGGGAGAUACACACUUCAGUGUAAGCAGGAGAACCUUAGCUUAAUUGGCCUGAUUCUUGAAAAUAAAAAAAAAAGAGCAAAACCACCAAUGAAAUGCAAGUUAAUAAUCCCAAAGUAGCAUGAGAGGGCUUUGCAAGGCUUCUGUUGUUUUUUCUUUGCUUUGAAAUUGGAGCACUGCAGCUUCUUCUACAUGAGAGGAGCUACUCUAACCAGCAUACCCAGGGCUUGGGGGUUCUCUGGCAGUUUUGCCUCAGGGGCUGCUGAUAUGAUGGUGUGAGGAUGGAAAAGAAAUGGUGUGCAGGAGAGCCCAGGAUGGCCAGGACUGUGUACCUUCAGGUGCCUGUGCAAGCUUAACGUGUGGUGUGGUCAGAGCCAAGCUCCCAUCCUGGGAAGCUGGAGGGGGAGAUGCUGGAGCAGAGCGCGAGGGACUCUGCGGGUAAGCAUCCCUUCGGCAAGGAGAGAGAGGAAAGUGGAGACAAAGGGUCAUCUAGGAUCUGCUCCCACAAGACUACUGUGUGAUUCCCAAAUAAAAAAACUUAAAAACUUGUGACUUAAAGGCAUAUCGGAGUAAAAGUAGGCAGAUUUGUUUAAAUACAAUGAAUGAGUAACUUUUAACCUAAAGCUUGAUCUGAGCCAGAUCAAAAGUCAGCCUUGUUUAAAGUUCAGUGAACUUUCAGCCCAGUACUUUUCUACUCUGAGCUUGGGUCAGAUGUUGAGCAGCAAGAAGAAAUGGCUUGUCUCAGGUAAACUGGGCAUGUGCUGGAGGUGGCACAAGACCACCCUCGCAGUCCUGAGGACCCUGCAGGAUGUCACGGUGUGUGAGGUCUCUGCUGGGUGGAAACACCCUGGUUUUGCUCUAAAGCGGUUUAGCUUGGUGUCCCCCCCGCGCAUCCUGUGCGUCAUCCCAGCAGCUGGCAGCCACUGCCAUGCGUGUUUGAAUGUGUUCUGCGUGGUUGAAUAGGGAUCUGUUGGGUAUGGUCAAGCAGAAGAGGAGAGUUUACAGGUCAUGGAAGCAGGGGCUGGCCACUUGGGAAGAAUAUAAGGCUGCUGUUAGAGGAUGUAGGAGGGCAGCUAGGAUAGCCAAGGCCUCCUUAGAAUUACAGCUGGCGAGAGGGGUCAAGGACAGCAAAAAGAACUUUUUCAAAUACAUAGCAGAUAAAACUAACACCAGAGGCAAUGAAAGCCUACUGAUGAAUGGGGUGGGUGCCCUGGUGGCAGAAGAUACAGAGAAGGCAGAAUUACUGAAUGGCUGUGCUGCCAUCCAGUGGGACCUGGACAGGCUGGAGAGUUGGGCGGGGAGUAACCUAAUGAAAUUUAACAAGGGCAAGUGUAGAGUCCUGCAUCUGGGCAGGAACAACCCCAGGUUCCAGUAUAGGUUGGGAAAUUACAUAUUAGAGAGCAGUGUAGGGGAAAGGGACCUGGGGGUCCUGGUGGACAACAGGAUGACCAUGAGCCAGCACUGUGCCCUUGUGGCCAGGAAGGCCAAUGGCAUCCUGGGGUGUAUUACAAGGGGGGUGGUCAGUAGAUCGAGAGAGGUCCUCCUUCCCCUCUACUCCGCCCUGGUGAGACCACAUCUGGAAUAUUGUGUCCAGUUCUGGGCCCCUCAGUUCCAGAAGGACAGGGAACUGCUGGAGAGGGUCCAGCGCAGGGCAACAAAGAUGAUUAAGGGAGUGGAGCAUCUCCCUUAUGAAGAAAGGCUGAGGGAGCUGGAGCUCUUUAGUUUGGAGAAGAGGAGACUAAGGGGGGACCUCAUUAAUGUUUAUAAAUAUAUAAAGGGUGAGUGCCAUGAGGAUGGAGCCAGGCUCUUCUCGGUGGCCAACAAUGAUAGGACAAGGGGUAAUGGGAUCAAGCUGGAACACAAGAGGUUCCGCUUAAAUUUGAGAAAAAACUUCUUCUCAGUGAGGGUGACAGAGCACUGGAACAGGCUGCCCAGGGAGGUUGUGGAGUCUCCUUCUCUGGAGACAUUCAAAACCCACCUGGACAUGUUCCUGUGCGACCUCACCUGGGCGUUCCUGCUCCAGCAGGGGGAUUGGACUAGAUGAUCUUUUGAGGUCCCUUCCAAUCCCAAACAUACUGUGAUACUGUGAUCUCAGCUGGAUUUUGGCAGAUUCCUUGUCUGCUCAGAAGUGUGUCUGCUGCUGGGAUGUGGAUCGUUAGGGCACUUGUACUGACCUGUGUGGUCCAUUGAGGCACAUAAUUGUAAGAGAUAACUGUCAAUAGUGUUUGCUGCACAGCCUCAUCUCUGAGACAAGUUCUGCAGUGUUCUGCACCUUCUCUCUGGUUUGUAAAGGUUCGUUUCAAUCAAAUAUCAAGUGUUUGAUGCUGCAUCUCAGUUUCUUUGUUUGGGGUGGGGGAAGCCCCAGCAAAGCACUUUGGAAUUCUGUGUCUGGGGCUAUUGAGAUGGUACUUGAAAGAAUUGGGUGGAUUUGGGGAUUAAGCUUCCUGAGUGAGAGCGGUGCAGUGUAGAUUUUAUUAACAUUGAAACUGAGGGCAUCUGCUUCAGUGAUGCAGUUUGGGUCAGUAUUGUGCCGUCGAAGCUGACCUCCUGAUCGCCCCUGCACAGACCAUGUUUCUGUCCAUACUGGGAAGCAGUUUCUGAUUGAAGAGUGCUUGAGUCAGGCAAAACCCAACAAAAAGAAGUUUUCCAAUAAUAGUCUAACAUUUAGAGGUUGCACCAGCUACUUGGGUUACUGCGUUUUCCAGCAGCAGGACACCAACAGAAGUCGUAAGGAGCACACUGUCCCAUCAUGUGCUUACAUGUGCUUUUUUGAGCUUCAAUAUUUAAACAGAACCAAUUGGUGAAGUUAUAAAAAGAAAAAUGGCAGAACAGAUAAACUUGGGUUUCUCUUGGGGAUCAACUCUGCGAGUUAAUGCUGUUACAUACGUGCUCAUCUCAGGGCCCUCCAGCUCUUGUGUGCUAGGAAAUGGCUUCAUUUUCAGCACUUAUGUUUAGAAAACAAGGUGGGGAGGUGAGAAGCGGAGUGUUGUAAAUAGUAAUGGAAAUUGUCAGUGGUUGAGAAUGGCCUCUUCCAAAGCCAUCUGUUCUAGGCGUGACAGGUGCCCAACUUCUAUGUUUUGGGGGGAGUUUUGUUCACGAAAUAAGCCAUCUGGUGUCUUCAUGGCCAGGUGGCACUGAGUGGAGCUGCGUGCUCGUGUGCAGGAGUUGAGCUCUUGGCAGUAACAUCCUCCUCCCGUAUCUCAUCCCUCCUUCCAUAUCUCAUGCCUUCUUCCAGCGAAGUGCUGGUCCUAGCGGGAGACAGGGGCCUUUCAUUGCUUUGAGAGGCUCAGGGAGCUUUUUUUUAGGCCAUACAGGAGCUCUCUAAGACUGCUGAAACACGCUGUGCUAAAAGCAGUAUGAGAGCCAAUAUUGAAUGGAGUAGGUACAAAAACGUCUGGGGCCUCCUUCACUCCUUUAGGGAGAAAGUUAUGUUUUUGUUGGAAAUAUCUGUCUAGAUCUCUUCCUCCGUGCUGUAAGUUGCUACCUGGCUUUGAUGAAAAACACAUUUGUGCUGAGAUUCAUUGGAUAUCUUGCUUUUUUUACCACUUUCCCAGACAGCCUGUUCUCUGUGUUGUGCAGUGGGUUGGGUGCUGUGCAGCAAGCCCGGCACGCUCAGCCCGUCUCUGUCAUGCCAGUAACUCGGGUCUGCUGGUGCCAGUAAGGCAGUGCCACGUGGCUGGCAGCGUGGGUUGGCAUCCUUUGUAGUGGAGGUGCAGACUCCUGUGUGCAUGAAGUUUCUGUGGCCCUAAAUACCAGAGGGGAGAGAGCAGCCUUCUUCAAGGGGAGGUUCAGAUUCAUGGUGGAUCCAUGUAGGCGCCAUCUGCAAGCUCUGCUGCCAGGCUUAUUUCUGAAAUGCCGACUGUAGGAAGUGAAUGAUGUAUUUGGGGACAGGAGCUGGGUAGUGCUUUCCAGGCUUUACACCAGGUUUUCUGGUAGGGGAAUGAGCAGGCUAAAACCACUUAUUAGAGUGGAGAGACAGUAAAAUGGCCCUUAUUGCCUUUUUUGGACUUGUUGAACUUCAGUAAACUUUAAAUGUGUUUCCAUUUCACAAGCAUGGUGUUUUCCUCCCUCCAGCAACUGUGUAGAUUUGUUGCACUUCAGAUCACUUGAUACCAUGCCUAUAACCUCACAGAUCCGUCACUGAGAUACUGACAGGGUGUGCAAGUGGGGAAGAAGACAGGAAUUCUUUGGAUAGGUUGCACAUGGCACCAUGGAGCUGCCAGAUGUGUGGCAUGCUCUGUUUGGGAUCUUGCAGCUGGAGCUGGUGUGAGUCUGUACCACAUCCUCCAUUCCCACCAAAAUUGGGCACUGCGUGCUGUUUUGAGAGAUGCCUGUUUGCUCUUGCAAAGUAUUCUCUGGGUAGGAGGAACCACUGAACCUGUUUUCCUUUCCUGAGCAUCUAGGGGGGAUGCUGAGGGAAGAAAAUAGCAAGGAGGUUUUAAAUGAAGGCUUUAUCAGGAAGGUUUCAUGAAUGGUUUUUAGAAAUACACGUGUGAAACUUUGAGGGAGGAGGAAUAUCUUAAGCUCUUCAAAUAUAUAUAGGCACCCAGAUUUGUGCUUUACUUUUAAAUUGCCUAUGGCUAAUAAAAUUGAAUUUUAUUCCAGCAAGGUUACUUUCCUGGGGAUACUCUUGUGGGCUUAUUGAUGGUAGAUACAUUUGAAAUGAUACUACAAGGGGACAGUGUUACCAGAUAAAUAAAUCAGACUUGUAUUUAAAAACCAGGGCAGCACUUACUGUUAUUAAUGUCUUAGGUUAAUGUAUGGUUAAGGUUAGUCUGAAUUAGGUUUUGGUUGGACUUGAUGAUCUUGAGGGUCUCUUCCAACCAAAAUGAUUCUAUGAAGUCCGGCCAGGCCAUGAGCUCCCUGUGUGAGGAGGUGACUCACUGAUGUGUCUUGGCAAAAAGCAUGUUUGACAUCUGCUACUGCAAAUAUUUUGACUUCAGAGAACCUGGCUGCUGCCUCAGCAAUGAGCGAUAUCUGAGACCUUGGGGUAUUUGGACUCCUGUGUAUCUGCUGCCUCAGCUGCUCUACUGCAGCCUGGCACUGAACUUGGACCAGGGCUUCCUUGAAAGCUUCUGCUGGGUUAAACCUGGCUUUCCUCUGGUCAUGUCAGUCUCGGUUUAACUAGUGGAACAAAUGGUGUGUGGCAGAAAUGGUAUCAAUUUAGCUUUCUGAACACUGUGGCUACGGAGAGUGAAAGCAAGUAUUUUUGGUUUGUGGAAAAAUCUUAUUAUUGUAACGUGUGUUGGUUUUUUUUCCCCACCCCCUUUUUCUGACAAAAUAGUUAAAAGUGAUUUUGAUGUUUCCAUUUGUAUUCUGUGCCUCAAGUUCCUUGCAUAGAAAGAGGAACUAUUCUGAUUUUUGCUGGUUGUUUCUUGAACUCUUCAGUGCAUCACAGAACUGUUGUGUUUUGAGAUGUCCUGCAUAAACCCUUGGAAGAAAAUCUGCAAACAGCCAGAAAUGACCUGAGCUAGAGAGCUUCUGCUGUAUUGCCAGGACCAGCUCCUUG